GUUCACAUCGUCAACAACAACAGAGGUGGUACUUCUACCAAUGACACGCUGAGAAAAAGAAACCCAAAGAGACAGAUGAAGAAGAAAGACAGAUGUAAAAGAAAAGAGAAAGACCAUUAGAAGAAUCACAACUUGUACUUCUGGACUGAAUCUUUCCAAUCUGAGGACUUAUUCUUUGGAUUAUUUCACUACUCUCUGCACUGAAAUGUGAUGUGACACACGGACUGAAUUCUAAAACUUUCUUUCAAGUCUUUAAGUUAUGUGACUGCCGUCGCCAAAGCAUCACCUUUGACCAUCCGCUUAAAUGGCGGCUGCUGGAGACAAUUUAACAUCAGGAAGGACAACUGUCGGGACAACUAUGCAGUAGCUCGCUGGGAAUAUUUAAUAUAAAUCAUCUCCACGUACGCUCAUUCAAAUCUGCAUUUAAGGGAACCUGGAAAGUGAGCAGUAUGGAGGUGCUGAGUGGCCCCUGGGCUGAUGUGGCUCUGCUCCUGCGACAGGCCAUCGCACGGACAGACAGAGACACAGACAGUUUACUUCCUCUCUGGCUCUUCGGCUUGCUGCUGUUCCUGUCUGUCUGUGUGCUGCUGCUGCAACUGAUUAUCUACCUCAGCUGGAAACUCAGACAGGCUGAGGCUGAGCUGUCGGGGUUUCCGCAGGACAGAAGCGCCAUCCACAGGCAGAUAUACAGAAGUACACACCGGAGGAGGAGGAGCGUUGGGUAGCAUUCACACACUUGACCGGACACAGACUUCUUCAAUGUUAAAUUCUGGCAUUAAAACCUGAUGAAACUGACUCUGUCCCCAUUGUUUCUGGCAUCCUUGCCAGUUAAUACGAGUUCAGUCUGUCACUGUAGAGCUAUGUGACCAAUGUGAACACCAUCAAGGACACAGGAGGGACAUACCUUGUAAUUAAACUUGC